GCUGGUGUAGCUCAGUCGGUAGAGCAGCUGAUUUGUAAUCAGCCGGUCGGUGGUUCGAAUCCUCUCACCAGCUCCA
rnacentral:tRNA from 10 species